rnacentral:misc_RNA from 1 species
UCAUUUUUUUUAACUGUUGAGGUAUAUGUAUAUCAACAUAUUUUAUUUUUACCUUAUACAAAAUCCCAAACUGUGAUGAAAACAAACUUGUGAUUAUCCGUCCAUAGCUAGAAGGUUAUAUUGAUGUUCCGUUUGUUUUCUUUUAUUCCUUUUUUUUUUUACAUUUGUUUUGUUGUAUAUUAUUAUAAUAAUUUAUCUAUAUUGUGAGAUUUAAUGUUGACUGUAAGUUUUGCAUAAUGAUUUCUGUUUACUUAACUGAGCAAUGAAAGAAUAGGAUAUAGGAGAAUAUUUUUCGAAUAUUACUCAAAUUUUGGUUUGUUUUUGUUUUUUUUUUAUUAUAGAUAUCGCUUGAAAAUCUUAAAUUCAUGUCUUUAACCUACCUAUACAAGUUUAACUUUUUGAAUUGAGAUAUUUUAACUACAUUGUCGUGCGUACCUGCGACACUCUAGCUAUUUUUUUUAUAAAUUUUUGUCUUGUGUCCAACAUAUUCUGUUAUAUGAUGAAUAUCAUCAGAGUGAUAUUUAGAUUGAAUAAAAUAUGAUGUUUUCU